rnacentral:rRNA from 1 species
CCUACGGGAGGCAGCAGUGGGGAAUAUUGGGCAAUGGGCGCAAGCCUGACCCAGCAACGCCGCGUGAAGGAAGAAGGCUUUCGGGUUGUAAACUUCUUUUAAGAGGGAAGAGCAGAAGACGGUACCUCUUGAAUAAGCCACGGCUAACUACGUGCCAGAAGCCGCGGUAAUACGGAGGUGGCAAGCGUUGUCCGGCGUUACUGGGUGUAAAGGGCGGGCAGCCGGGAAGACAAGGCAGAUGUGAAAUCCCGGGGCUCAACCGCGGAACUGCAUUUGAAACUGUUUUUCUUGAGUACCGGAGAGGUCAUCGGAAUUCCUUGUGUAGCGGUGAAAUGCGUAGAUAUAAGGAAGAACACCAGUGGCGAAGGCGGAUGACUGGACGGCAACUGACGGUGAGGCGCGAAAGCGUGGGGAGCAAACAGGAUUAGAUACCCUUGUAGUC